GACGAACGCUGGCGGCGUGCUUAACACAUGCAAGUCGAACGGAAAGGCCUGCAGCUUGCUGCGGGUACUCGAGUGGCGAACGGGUGAGUAACACGUGGGUGAUCUGCCUUGCACUUCGGGAUAAGCUUGGGAAACUGGGUCUAAUACCGGAUAGGACAGCUGUUUAGUGUCAGUUGUGGAAAGUUUUUUCGGUGCAAGAUGAGCUCGCGGCCUAUCAGCUUGUUGGUGGGGUAAUGGCCUACCAAGGCGUCGACGGGUAGCCGGCCUGAGAGGGUGUACGGCCACAUUGGGACUGAGAUACGGCCCAGACUCCUACGGGAGGCAGCAGUGGGGAAUAUUGCACAAUGGGCGGAAGCCUGAUGCAGCGACGCCGCGUGGGGGAUGAAGGCCUUCGGGUUGUAAACUCCUUUCGACAGGGACGAAGCUUUUGUGACGGUACCUGUAUAAGAAGCCCCGGCUACCUACGU
rnacentral:rRNA from 1 species